rnacentral:rRNA from 1 species
GACAACUCUAGAGAUAGAGCCUUCCCCUUCGGGGGACAAAGUGACAGGUGGUGCAUGGUUGUCGUCAGCUCGUGUCGUGAGAUGUUGGGUUAAGUCCCGCAACGAGCGCAACCCUUAAGCUUAGUUGCCAUCAUUAAGUUGGGCACUUUAAGUUGACUGCCGGUGACAAACCGGAGGAAGGUGGGGAUGACGUCAAAUCAUCAUGCCCCUUAUGAUUUGGGCUACACACGUGCUACAAUGGACAAUACAAAGGGCAGCGAAACCGCGAGGUCAAGCAAAUCCCAUAAAGUUGUUCUCAGUU